CCUACGGGAGGCAGCAGUGAGGAAUAUUGGUCAAUGGACGCAAGUCUGAACCAGCCAUGCCGCGUGCAGGAAGACGGCUCUAUGAGUUGUAAACUGCUUUUGUACGAGGGUAAACGCAGAUACGUGUAUCUGUCUGAAAGUAUCGUACGAAUAAGGAUCGGCUAACUCCGUCCCAGCAGCCGCGGUAAUACGGAGGAUUCAAGCGUUAUCCGGAUUUAGUGGGUUUAAAGGGUGCGUAGGCGGUCGGAUAAGUUAGAGGUGAAAUCCCGGGGCUCAACUUCGGAAUUGCAUCUGAUACUGUUCGGCUAGAGAGUAGUUGCGGUAGGCGGAAUGUAUGGUGUAGCGGUGAAAUGCUUAGAGAUCAUACAGAACACCGAUUGCGAAGGCAGCUUACCAAGCUACUUCUGACGUUGAGGCACGAAAGCGUGGGGAGCAAACAGGAUUAGAUACCCUUGUAGUC
rnacentral:rRNA from 1 species